rnacentral:rRNA from 1 species
UACGAAGGGGGCUAGCGUUGCUCGGAAUCACUGGGCGUAAAGCGCACGUAGGCGGAUUGUUAAGUCAGGGGUGAAAUCCUGGAGCUCAACUCCAGAACUGCCUUUGAUACUGGCGACCUUGAGUCCGGGAGAGGUGAGUGGAACUGCGAGUGUAGAGGUGAAAUUCGUAGAUAUUCGCAAGAACACCAGUGGCGAAGGCGGCUCACUGGCCCGGUACUGACGCUGAGGUGCGAAAGCGUGGGGAGCAUACAGG